rnacentral:rRNA from 1 species
AAGAGGGAAAAGCUCAAAUUUAAAAUCUGGCAGCAUUUUGUUGUCCGAGUUGUAACCUAGAGAAGUGUAACCUGUGCUGGACCGUGUAUAAGUUUCCUGGAAUGGAGCAUCACAGAGGGUGAGAAUCCCGUCUUUGACAUGGACUACCAGUGCAUUGUGGUUGUGCUCUCAACGAGUCGAGUUGUUUGGGAAUGCAGCUCUAAAUGGGUGGUAAAUUCCAUCUAAAGCUAAAUAUUGGCGAGAGACCGAUAGCGAACAAGUACCGUGAGGGAAAGAUGAAAAGAACUUUGGAAAGAGAGUUAAACAGUAUGUGAAAUUGUUGAAAGGGAAACGUUUGAAGUCAGUCGCGUUAGCUGGGGAUCAGCCUGACAUUGUUGGGUGCACUUCCUGGUUGACGGGCCAACAUCAGUUUUGACUGCCAGAAAAAGGCCAAGGGAAUGUGGCACCUUUGGGUGUGUUAUAGCCUUUGGUCAUAUAUGGUGGUUGGGACUGAGGAAYGCAGUGUGCCGAAAGGCCGGGUUUCGACCACGUUCACACUGAGGAUGUUGGCAUAAUGGCUUUAAGCGACCCGUCUUGAAACACGGACCAAGGAGUCUAACAUGCAUGCGAGUGUUUGGGUGGAAAACCCUUACGCGUAAUGAAAGUGAAAGUUGAGAUCCCUGUCAUGGGGAGCAUCGACGCCCGGACCAGAACUUUUGGGACGGAUCUGCGGUAGAGCACGUAUGUUGGGACCCGAAAGAUGGUGAACUAUGCCUGAAUAGGGUGAAGCCAGAGGAAACUCUGGUGGAGGCUCGUAGCGAUUCUGACGUGCAAAUCGAUCGUCAAA